UACGUAGGGUGCGAGCGUUGUCCGGAAUUAUUGGGCGUAAAGAGCUCGUAGGCGGUGUGUCACGUCGGCCGUGAAAACCUGCAGCUUAACUGUGGGCGUGCGGUCGAUACGGGCAUCACUGGAGUUCGGCAGGGGAGACUGGAAUUCCUGGUGUAGCGGUGAAAUGCGCAGAUAUCAGGAGGAACACCGGUGGCGAAGGCGGGUCUCUGGGCAAUUCCUGACGCUGGAGGCGCGAAAGCGUGGGGAGCAAACGGG
rnacentral:rRNA from 1 species